rnacentral:lncRNA from 1 species
GGGAACUGGAAAAGCCUCCACAUUUCAAUCACUUGUUUGCCAGCAUCCUAAAAUGUUCUCUGGAUUCACUGGAACCAGAGGGAAGAAGUGAAACAAAUAUUCAGUCACAUCUAAUGAGCCUGUGAGAAAAGACCAGUGAUGCAAUACUUGGUAGAAUGGUAUCAUCACAGAUGAAAUGGCAGCUGUUCCGCAGUAAGGCAGUGGGGGCAGUCCUGGAGGAGGUGGGGUACACGGGUAUCAACUUUAGUUUGCUUCAGUCUAUGUCUCUUUGGUCUGUUCUGUCCUUUGUCAUUCAUGGAAACUGAGGUGGUUUAGCAGUUAAUUAAGAACUCUAAGAGAGAUCUGGCAGCAGAAGGGGGAGCAUCAGCUGAGCUGGGAGCUCACAGAUGGCAGCAGUGAGAGCAAGCAGUCCCUAAUGAACUUGAUAUCAGGUAGGCCAAGAAAGAGGGUUAGUUCUGAAAGCUGGAGUAUGGCAGAGAAGGUGGAAAUAAGCCAUGUGCUCAGAUACUGAAACUACACUAAAGUCAGAAUGAGUUCAACAGCUGAAGGCGGAGAGGAGGUCAGUCCUGAGCCUGAGGUUUAGUUGGGUCUGUGGUUGAGACUGAGUGGCCCCAGCAGUGGAGAGUAGUGACCCAAGUCAGACAGGGAGCCAUACACAUAAGUCCAUACAUUCAGAGCAUUGGACUCUAUCACCAACACAGAUGAAGAUCCAUGAAAUCAAACUUUAGAUAUUUUAGUGUUAUACUCUAGUCCUAUUUUCUAGUAUUAGAUGUGGACGUUAAUUAACAAACAGCAAACUAUGGAAAUCUGCCUAACUCCUCAAGAAAGAAGCAAUUUGCAUAUAAAAAGAGAUAUUAAUAUAAAUUCAAGGUAUUAUUAAGGACAAAUUCAUUCCUUUUUCUCCUAGCUGUCAAUUUCCUCAAAAUAUUAAAACUUUAAAACAAUGUACCCUAGACUCAAUGAUAAAAACUAUCAACUUUUUCAAAAAACAGCAAAAGCAGUCUACUUCAGAUCCAAAUUUCUUGGUCAAGUAAAACUAAGAGACUGGUCACUAAAUUACAAAAACAAAUCCAUGAAUAAUAACCUCAACUCAAUCUCAAAUAAAUAAAAGUUUCUUCCCCACCAACUCCAAAAAAUAAAAUUUUGAUAGGUUGGCCUCACAAAAGUUGUGUCUGGACCAGAAAUGCCUAAUUAGAAUAUACAUAAUUCCAAGGUGUUGUGUUCUGAGUGGCUAAGCACUAUGGACAAGCUGGUUAGGCUGGCUGCCAGCAAGGCGAGUGUGAACUAUUGCCUGAAAGGGUACCAGUAGUGUCAUACUAAACCUUUGCCCAGGGGCUCUUAUAAAUCAGUCAUUAUUUUAAGUAUCGGGAGAGAUUAUAUAACUUAAAUAUUAAUUUUCUUGUUCACUCAUCAAAUAUUUAUUGAGCCCACUAUAUACCCAAACACUGUGUUGAGCACUAGAUCUGGCUCUCAAUGAGCCUACCAUGAAUUAUAUUCUUAUUAUAAACAAUAUUAACAAAUACAAUUAAAAUAGAUUGCAUGCAGUAUGCCAGAUAUUGUGCUGGGCAUUUUACAUUAAUAUCUCACUUAAUCCCAUCCUAAAGGUGAGAAAACUCAGGCUUAGAGGUUGAGUAAUUUGCCCAAGUUCACAUAGCUAGGACGUGUUGAAACAGAAACUCCAAACUGUUCCAGAGCCCCAAAUCCUAACCACUGUGCGUACUGCCUCUAGCAAGGGACCUAAGACAUAAGAGUGUAAUUAUCAGAUAAGGUCAAAAGUGAAAAAGGAAAAAAGAGCUGUAGAUAACUAAGGACAUUCAAGAAGACAAAUUUCUUCCAAGUGGAUGAGUGAGGAAUGGCUUUGCAAAGCAAGUGAUAUUUACACAAAUUUUUGUAGGAUGGAUAGGAUCUGGUUGCGCAGAGAAAGAAUAUGAAGGACAAGGUGUAAAAGUACGGGUGGUAGAAGGAGCACUGCAUCAGGAGUCGGAUGAUCAGGUUCAAACUUUGCUCCUCCAUUUCUUAACUGCCUAACAAGAAGCAAGCCACUUACCUCUCUAGGCGUCAGUUUACUCUUACGUAAAAUGUCCAGUUUAGUUCACUUGAAAAAAUACAAAUGCUAUAUGCAAGAAGAUAUUCAUAGCAUAAUCAUUUAUAAAAGUAAAAUCUAGUAAACUUAAGUUAUCAAUAAUCAAGAAGUGGGUAAAUAAAUUAUGCAGCCUUUCUAAUAGUAAUUGUGGAGAUUGCAGCAACAUAGAAAAAUGUAACAAACAGGAAAUUAUAAAACUAUGUCCACUAUUACAAAUAUGAGUAGACAAAGACUAAAGGAAAAUAAACAGAAAUAAAAUUUGAAAAAUAAAAAUACACAUGCCAAAUCUGUUUCCCAGACCUCUUGAAGCAAAAACCUCUAGGGAUGAGACCUAAAGAUAGGUAGGUAGGUAGGUAGGUAGGUAGGUAGAUAGAUAUUUUAGAGAUUGGCACUUGAGCUAACAUCUGUUGCCAAUCUUUUUGUUUUCUUCUUCUCCCCAAAGCCCCCGAGUACACAGUUGUACAUUCUAGUUUGGAGUGCCUCUGGUUGAGCUAUGUGGGACGCCACCUCAGCAUGGCCCAAUGAGUGGUGCCAUGUCCACGCCCAGGAUCUGAAGCAGCAAAACCCUGGGCUGCCAAAGCGGAGAGCAAGAACUCAGCUCCUCAGCCAGCCCCUGACACUUUUUUUUUUUUUGAGUAAGAUUAGCCCUGAGCUAACAUCUGCCACCAAUCCUCCUCUUUCUGCUGAGGAAGACUGGCCCUGAGCGAACAUCUGUGCCCAUCUUCCUCUACUUUAUAUGUGGGUCGCCUGCCACAGCCUGGCUUGCCAAGCAGUGCUAGUUCCGCACCUGGGAUCCAAACUAGUGAAUCCCAGGUCACCAAAGCAGAAUGUGUGAACUUAACCACUGUGCCACUGGGCUGGCCCGUGAAAAAAAAUAUAUAUUUUUUAAAGGUUUUUUUUUUCCUUUUUCUCCCCAAAGCCCCCCAGUACAUAGUUGUGUAUUCUUCGUUGUGGGUCCUUUUAGUUGUGGCAUGUGGGACGCUGCCUCAGAGUGGUUUGAUGAGCAGUGCCAUGUCCGCGACCAGGAUUCAAACCAACGAAACACUGGGCCGCCUGCAGUGCAGCGCGUGAACUUAACCACUCGGCCACGGGGCCAGCCCCAAAAAUAUAUUUUUUUAAAAGUGUUCCAAGUGACUCUGAUGUAUACCCAGGACUGGAAGCCACUGACAGGAUAUCUAAAGGUUCUUUCAACUUUGACUUUCUAAUUCCUUAAGGGCAUUCCACAUAUCCUGGGAAAGUAGACACAUGUUAAGAAAAGAUUAUAGAAAUGUACAGGGCAGGGCCAGCCCCGUGGCCAAGUGGUUAAGUUCGUGCACUCUGCUUCGGCAGCCCAGGGUUUCCCCGGUUCAGAUCCUGGGCACAGACAUGGCACCGCUCAUUAGGCCAUGCUGAGGUGGCGUCCCACAUGCCACAACUAGAAGGAC